UUAAUUUGAGAGUUUGAUCCUGGCUCAGGACGAACGCUGGCGGCGUGCCUAAUACAUGCAAGUCGAACGAACUCUGGUAUUGAUUGGUGCUUGCAUCAUGAUUUACAUUUGAGUGAGUGGCGAACUGGUGAGUAACACGUGGGAAACCUGCCCAGAAGCGGGGGAUAACACCUGGAAACAGAUGCUAAUACCGCAUAACAACUUGGACCGCAUGGUCCGAGUUUGAA
rnacentral:rRNA from 1 species